rfam:Capsicum annuum cultivar Zunla-1 unplaced genomic scaffold scaffold189, whole genome shotgun sequence
AGACUGUUGGUGGUGUGGACACUCCCAAAAAAGAUCCUUGAAGCUUUCCCAAGCAUGAUAAAUGUUUUCAUCAAGCUUCUAUUUGAAUCUCACUAUCUCAUUGUGAAGUCU